rnacentral:rRNA from 1 species
AGAGUUUGAUCCUGGCUCAGGACGAACGCUGGCGGUGUGCUUAACACAUGCAAGUCGAACGGUAAGGCCCUUUCGGGGGUACACGAGUGGCGAACGGGUGAGUAACACGUGAGUAACCUGCCCUCAUCUCUGGGAUAACAGUCGGAAACGGUUGCUAAUACUGGAUAUGAGCCUGCAAGGCAUCUUGUGGGUUGGAAAGAUUUUUUGGUUGGGGAUGGACUCGCGGCCUAUCAGCUUGUUGGUGAGGUAGUGGCUCACCAAGGCUUCGACGGGUAGCCGGCCUGAGAGGGCGACCGGCCACAUUGGGACUGAGAUACGGCCCAAACUCCUACGGGAGGCAGCAGUGGGGAAUAUUGCACAAUGGACGGAAGUCUGAUGCAGCAACGCCGCGUGCGGGAUGACGGCCUUCGGGUUGUAAACCGCUUUCAAUUGUGACGAAGCUUUUUGUGACGGUAGCAGUAGAAGAAGCACCGGCUAACUACGUGCCAGCAGCCGCGGUGAUACGUAGGGUGCGAGCGUUGUCCGGAUUUAUUGGGCGUAAAGAGCUUGUAGGCGGUUUGUCGCGUCGGGAGUGAAAACUUGGGGCUUAACCCUGAGCUUGCUUUCGAUACGGGCUGACUUGAGGGAGGUAGGGGAGAAUGGAAUUCCUGGUGGAGCGGUGGAAUGCGCAGAUAUCAGGAGGAACACCGGUGGCGAAGGCGGUUCUCUGGACCUUUCCUGACGCUGAGAAGCGAAAGCGUGGGGAGCGAACAGGCUUAGAUACCCUGGUAGUCCACGCCGUAAACGGUGGGUACUAGGUGUGGGGGACAUUCCACGUUCUCCGUGCCGUAGCUAACGCAUUAAGUACCCCGCCUGGGGAGUACGGCCGCAAGGCUAAAACUCAAAGGAAUUGACGGGGCCCCGCACAAGCGGCGGAGCAUGCGGAUUAAUUCGAUGCAACGCGAAGAACCUUACCUGGGUUUGACAUAUGCCGGAAGCGUUCAGAGAUGGGCGUGCCUUUUUGGUCGGUUUACAGGUGGUGCAUGGCUGUCGUCAGCUCGUGUCGUGAGAUGUUGGGUUAAGUCCCGCAACG